UACGAAGGGGGCUAGCGUUGUUCGGAAUUACUGGGCGUAAAGCGCGCGCAGGCGGUUCGCUAAGUUGGGGGUGAAAUCCCCGGGCUCAACCCGGGAAUUGCCUUCAAGACUGUCGAGCUAGAGGACGAGAGAGGUGAGUGGAAUUCCCAGUGUAGAGGUGAAAUUCGUAGAUAUUGGGAAGAACACCGGUGGCGAAGGCGGCUCACUGGCUCGUUUCUGACGCUGAGGCGCGAAAGCGUGGGGAGCAAACAGG
rnacentral:rRNA from 1 species